UUCUUUUAGUUAUUUUUAAAAGUACUUUCUGCCCUAUGAAUAAUUAUUUAAAUGGCUGCAGUAUUUUAACUGUACAAAGGUAGCAUAAUAAUUAGUUUUUUAAUUGAGGACUAGAAUGAAUGGAUAUAUGAAAAAUUUAUUUUAUUUUUUUUAUUAUUAUAAUUUUAUUUAUUGGUAAAAAAGCUAAUUUAUAUUUUAGGGACGAAAAGACCCUAUAGAAUUUUAAAAAUUUAACUUUAAUUUUAUUUUUAGGUUUAUUUCUAAUUUAUCAAUUAGUUUUUUUUUAUUGGGGUGAUAAAUAAAUUCUUUAGUCUUUUUUUUUAUUAUUCAUUUAUAUAUGUUAUUUUUUGAUCCUAUAAUUUAGAUUAUAAGAUAAAUUACCUUAGGGAUAACAGCGUAAUUUUAAUUAAAAGUUCAUAUUUAAAUUAAAGUUUGCGACCUCGAUGUUGAAUUAAGGUAAAAUUUUGGUGUAGAAGCUUUAAGUUUUGGUCUGUUCGACCAUUAAAACCUUACA
rnacentral:rRNA from 1 species